rnacentral:rRNA from 1 species
UACGCAGGGGGCUAGCGUUGCUCGGAAUCACUGGGCGUAAAGCGCACGUAGGCGGAUUGCUAAGUCAGGGGUGAAAUCCUGGAGCUCAACUCCAGAACUGCCUUUGAUACUGGCGAUCUCGAGUCCGGGAGAGGUGAGUGGAACUGCGAGUGUAGAGGUGAAAUUCGUAGAUAUUCGCAAGAACACCAGUGGCGAAGGCGGCUCACUGGCCCGGUACUGACGCUGAGGCGCGAAAGCGUGGGGAGCAAACAGG